UUCCAAACAUAGGUGCAACAUCAGCACACUAAAACCACAAGAUACAGGAUGUAAACAACAGAUUAGUGUAUAUAAAUAUAGGGUUUAAAAUUUAUUUAUGUAUUAUGUCAUUCAUUCACAUAGAAACAAGCAGAGCGACUGAAAAAACGAAUACAAGGAACUGACCAAGCUACAAAAGAAACAUAUUUGCCACCUAAAAAGACAAUGAAGCUUUAUCAGAAAAUUGUUGUUUUAAUUGUAAUUUUUGCCUUCUGUAGUGAUGUUAACAAUCUCAUCAAUUCGGUAUGGACUGGACAAGAAAUGAUAUCACAAAACUCCGGUCUCUUAUUGCCUGGAGCUCAUGCAAUUUGGGGACACGUGGCAAGGGCAGUGGUAAGGGGUUUGUCAAGAAGAGGAAAGAAAAAGGCAGGUAGCGAACACACAAAAGGCAAGAGACCAAGCACCAAAGGCAAACAUGAAAAAGGACAAAGUAGAAAGCAGAAAGAUCAAGACCGCGCAAAUGGCAAGAAACAAAAAGGUGGAAAAGACGGAAGCAAGAAGAGAGGAUGAAAAUAGGAUGAUAUUAUGUAACACGUGACAUUCCUUUUUUUAAGGGAUAUUUAAAACACCGAGUGUUUAGGUGAUUGUUCUAUCUUAUAAUAUUGUGAAGUUUUGCAAAAUUAGGAAAAUCAUCAAUACAUUGUUAAGACAGUAUUAAAGUGUUAAAAAUAAAAAAAAUAAAAAGAUUUGAAA